GACGUAGGGCGCGAGCGUUGUCCGGAUUUAUUGGGCGUAAAGAGCUCGUAGGCGGUUCAGUAAGUCGGGUGUGAAAACUUUGGGCUUAACCCAAAGCGUGCAUCUGAUACUGCUGUGACUUGAGUUCGGUAGGGGAGUGGGGAAUUCCUAGUGUAGCGGUGAAAUGCGCGGAUAUUAGGAGGAACACCGGUGGCGAAGGCGCCACUCUGGGCCGAAACUGACGCUGAGGAGCGAAAGCAUGGGUAGCAAACAGG
rnacentral:rRNA from 1 species